AAAGAUUUUUUUAAAAGAAACUAAGUCAGUUCCUGAAGAGCUUAUGAGAUGUUCUAGGCAACGAGCCAGCAGACGCAGAGGAACAGAUUGUUCUUACCUGCUUGAUGCUCUUGCGUUGGGAAAGUUUGGGUCAUGCGUGUGGUGUGCUAGGCUUAUUAUCUGUGCCCGAUCGCUUUGUGCUGGGGGCAGGCGUUCAGAUCCAAGGACUGCAGUUUUAAGAUUCCUUUUAUGAAAACGGCCAGUGUUCCCGGGAUCCUCUGAUGCAGUCUCCCUUUGAGUAGCUCCUGUGUUCUGUAGGAAGCAGGAGAGAGGGUGCGAGUCAGAGGAGACUUUUGCACCAGUAGAUGGCACAGGCAGCAAGCGCUUGGGAGUAAAGCGUGCAUAAAUGAUAAAAACUUGGUGCAUUUAUUGUAACAUGCGGGGUUUUCAGUUAUUGUGCCAAAAUGAAACCUAGAAAUGGUUUGAUGAAAGCUUCCUCUAGGUGGUGUUUAGUGUCUUUGCAUAGAUUUUAUCUGUAGUAAGGAACACUUUUCUAAUAUAACUGUAACCUGUGUAAAAACCCUCUUAAAUAUCUGGGUAAGACUGUGCUUCAAACGCAGGGGUGGUAACUGGAGGGGUAACAUUACCAGGACACAAAUGCAAACUUAUUAACUGUAGCAGCUUCUGUUUACAGGUGUGUUUACUGAAAAAGCAACCAGUGCGCGCAGGAUGAUCAGCAGUAUCUGUGCCCUUGCUUAUUGACAAGCUAUCUUCAUGCUAGCUUGCACAGUAUUUUUCUGCCACAGUAUAUUUAGGUAUAAGUUUUAACUACCUUUAUGAAUGUUAAGCUGACAAUCCAGUCAGCUUGGAUGGAUCCAGCAAUCCAGUGCUUUGGAUGAUUCAUUUUUCCAGGAUUACAAGUGAGGUUUUUUUCAAGUAUAAGUGCUCUAAUCGAAGACAAAACUCACCAUUAAGAGCAAACUUGAACUUGAGACUUGGAGGAGAUGCCGUUGACCUUUGCAGAAGCCUGAUGGCUUUCCAUCUGAGUGUGACUGGAAAAGUCACAGUGUAUGUGCAGAUGCCUGGAGGAUGAAGAGCCUGCUAGGACUUCAGCAAGACUGGGCUUCCUUUGGUGGAUGUCGUUAGUUCUUGGCAGCACAGGGAAAGCUACUGAAAAUUCAGACGUGCUCAGAGUAUACGGCAAGGACAGCACUUACAGGGAGGGUCGUUGACAGCCUUAUCCCUUCCCUGUGUUUUAGAACCAGGGGACACUCCUCCCAGAGGGAUUCGGGCGAUGCUGAAUUGUUAGAAACCCCAGUCCUAUGUUAAACCUAGCCCUCAGUGUAUGAGAUGGAUGCGCCUGACCCUGGACCAGGCACCUCCUCAUGUUGCCUGAAGGUUGCUCCCUGAGGAAGAGGAUGCUGACAAUCCUGAAAGAAGAUACAGCGAUGCCCCAAAGCAGUCUCUGUUACAGCUGGAUAUUAUUCCUAAAUGCAGCAUCGAGGUUUAGGAGCCCGCCGGGCAAACAAGCCAUGCCGUCUCCUUGCAGCUACUGGAAGCACGAUGAGGACGGACAUUUCUAUCACUUCUCUCCUCUGCCGGCCCCGGCUCUGGUGGAGCAGACCCUUGGACAAGGGUUGAGCCUUCAGGAGGCUGAACCAAAGUCACCUCGCGUCAGCUGAUCUAAUCCAAAAAUAUGUCUGUCCCUGUUUCCUCCUGGGAAGGUCAGUGUUUUCGUUAAUGGAAAUUAAUGAGCCUGCUGGCGUCAGCGGGAGUCUUUGCAUGGAGUUUUGGUCUUGGGAAAUAAGGAACAAUAUAAAAAGUAAGAAAUGGGUUUUGGGGGUAAUUUCUCGGUAUUGAGAGACUAUGGAUGAGCAGAAAACAUGAAACACACACUGGAGGAAAGAACUGAUGAUAAGCAAAACAAAGAUCCCUGUACCUCUGACUAUUUCAACUGGGAUGUCAUGUUUUCACCCCGAGUUUCCCAAAUACUCUCCUUUGUGGCAUAUUUUUCUUUCAAUUUUCAGAAAUUCAUAGAGCCUUCCUCUUUAUUUCAGCAGCGUUACCCGUGCAGUUAAAUUCUGAAGUGCAAACCACUGCGUUAGAGAGGAGGGUGAGUGAAACCAGUUAAUCCGACGGUAGUUGCUGGUCCCAACAAACUCACUACAGCGGUGAGUGGUGGUACCAAACCAGCCGUUGCAGAUGUGUUCUGGUUUUUUUUUUUAUUACUGUUAUUUUAUUCUUGAUGGCUUUAAGUACAGGAUCUUUUUCAAAAUAGAACUUUUGACCUCUAUGUGUUUCAUAGAUGAUAUUUGCACAGAGCUCAGCUUACCAGCCCCAAUGCUGGAGCUCCUCUACCCUGGCUUAGCUGGCAGCGUGAGCCAGGCACUGUCCAGGCAGCUCCACCUUACCUGCUCUCUGUCAGCGUAUUUGUCAAACCAGCUCUGACAAGAUUUUUAUCUAAUAUUUUCUUGGUUUUGUACUAUUUCGGAUUGACUCGUAUCGGUCACUCGCUCUGGAUUUGUCUUUUUU